UGGGAAGAAGACAAGACAGGAGUGAUUUCAAGACGAAAAAAAGAUUCUUAUAAAGAGGAAAGCUGUUGGUAUCGGAGGGGUAUUUUUCGAAGAGUAUAACGCAGCGGAAUUAAAACAAAGAGAGCAGAAAGUGUGUUCGAUCACAGUUAAAACGAAAUUUGCCCUUUUUUAGCAAACGUAAUUUUCUUUCAGAAAAUUAAUCAAACAUUUGAUAUGCGUUAAAUAAAAUGAGUGUAGGGAAUAGAAAAAUCACACGAGUAUUUUUAUAUUGGUUCGAUUCAACAGAAUCUACGUCCAGUCGUU
rnacentral:lncRNA from 1 species